rnacentral:rRNA from 1 species
UUGAACGCUGGCGGCAUGCCUUACACAUGCAAGUCGAACGGCAGCACGGGGGCGACCCUGGUGGCGAGUGGCGAACGGGUGAGUAACGCGUCGGAACGUACCCGGAAGUGGGGGAUAACGUAGCGAAAGUUACGCUAAUACCGCAUACGACCUGAGGGUGAAAGCGGGGGAUCGCAAGACCUCGCGCGACAGGAGCGGCCGAUAUCGGAUUAGCUAGUUGGUGAGGUAAAGGCUCACCAAGGCGACGAUCCGUAGCUGGUCUGAGAGGACGACCAGCCACACUGGAACUGAGACACGGUCCAGACUCCUACGGGAGGCAGCAGUGGGGAAUUUUGGACAAUGGGGGCAACCCUGAUCCAGCCAUUCCGCGUGAGUGAAGAAGGCCUUCGGGUUGUAAAACUCUUUCGGCAGGAACGAAACGGUGAGCUCUAACAUAGCUUGCUAAUGACGGUACCUGAAGAAGAAGCACCGGCUAACUACGU